GGAAGAGAAAAAGACCGGUCUCUGUUUGGAAAUUACAAACAUAGAAGAACUUAGAAACAAUGGGUUUCUAGAUUGGGUGGAAGGACUGGCUUGGGAUCCUGAGAGAGCAAGAAAAGUUUACCGGGAGCUUCAGAAAAAGUUAUUCAUCAUUUUUGGAGUGGAUAUUCAGAAGUGACUUCCCUCUUUUGCUCUGGGGCAACCAGCCCAGUUCAAUUUGCCUGGGGGCUUUUGACUCUACAAUCUCUUCCAACAUUAAACAAGUGAAUCCUGCGCACCCUGGUGAGUUCGCAAACCCUGACAGAUGUUUCUUUCCAAAAACAUGCAGGCCCAACAUCCCUUGAAAACCUUAAA
rnacentral:lncRNA from 1 species